CUUUCUCUUUCCCUGCUCCUGAACGGCACGGCAAUCACAGUCACAAAACAAACACAGAAUUCGAAACUUAAGCAAGUCCCUGAGUCUGCGGGAGGGAGACAAUGUCUUCCUUGUCACUUGGGUUCAAUCUAAGAGAAGGGAGCAAAGGAGACUUGUUGCCCUCAGCGGUCCUUGGGUUUUGCUCCCAAUAGGCACUGAGUAUUGGAGAGCAUGUUUCCAAACUUCAGAGGUCACCGGGAGGAUGUUGUUGAGGAAGGAAUCUGCAUUUCUAAUAGAUUCCUAGGUGACUUGAAUCCUCCUGAGUCUGCACACUGUAAGUCCUGAGGUCGGAGAAUAGCUGCUGGUUUACGAAGGUUUGUGCAAAGUGAAGCUAAGCCAGGUCUUCCCGCCACUGCCACAUUCACUUCACAAAUGGGAGUAAUCAAAGAGAGAAGAGGAAGGGAAAGCACAAAUGUGCAUCAACCGAGGAAUGGAUGAAGAAGACACGUUGUUUUUUUUUAAUAUGAUGGAGUACUACUCUGCCAAAAAGAAGGAUAAGCUUAAGACAUUUCUAGCUAAACGGAUGCACCUUGAGAUAAUACUCAAGUGAAAUAAAUUGGUCAUACGUGUGUAAAUA